CAAAGGAAAAGUGUGAAAAAUUAAAGGAAACAAGUGAAAAAGGUGGUGAAUCCUCCACUAAGGGCAAAGAAAUUGUACUCGAGGAUCGGUAGUCAGAGUACUCUAGAAAUUCGACUCCCGAAAUAGCUGGAUAGUAUUAUAUUAGCCAUGUCAUGC